rfam:Myotis lucifugus cont2.8209, whole genome shotgun sequence.
GAGACACCCUUAUGGGAUAGGACUUGCUUCAGUGGGGCUUUGGUGCUCACUGAGUCUGCUUCUUGAGUGUGUCUCU